rfam:Arabidopsis lyrata subsp. lyrata unplaced genomic scaffold ARALYscaffold_1, whole genome shotgun sequence.
AGCCAUGUGGUGAGCACAUAGCGAACUAUUCUUUCGCCUUUUACUAAAGAAUACCGUGUGCUCUCCACGCUAAGUGGCAUACGCCUAUUUUUGGAGGGAUCUCACUUCACUGUGAGAC